rnacentral:rRNA from 1 species
CCUACGUGUGGCUGCAGUGGGGAAUCUUGGACAAUGGGCGAAAGCCUGAUCCAGCCAUGCCGCGUGUGUGAAGAAGGCCUUCGGGUUGUAAAGCACUUUCAGUGGGGAAGAAAGCCUUGGGGCUAAUACCCUCGAGGAAGGACAUCACCCACAGAAGAAGCCCCGGCUAACUCCGUGCCAGCAGCCGCGGUAAUACGGAGGGUGCGAGCGUUAAUCGGAAUUACUGGGCGUAAAGCGCGCGUAGGCGGUCUGAUAAGCCGGUUGUGAAAGCCCCGGGCUCAACCUGGGAACGGCAUCCGGAACUGUCAAGGUAGAGUGCAGGAGAGGAAGGUAGAAUUCCCGGUGUAGCGGUGAAAUGCGUAGAGAUCGGGAGGAAUACCAGUGGCGAAGGCGGCCUUCUGGACUGACACUGACGCUGAGGUGCGAAAGCGUGGGUAGCAAACAGGAUUAGAUACCCCUGUAGUC